UGUGUAACCUCAGAGUAGGAAGGGCACAGAGCUGAUAAAAAUUUAGUUUUCAUCCCUCAGGAGAAUGAGGGUUCAAAGUAUUAACUGAGUUAAGAUAAUGUUAUAUUUCUUCAUAUCAAAUUUUUGGCCUGAAGUUUGUGCUCAUCACAGUAGCUUUCUCACUAUGUGUGUGGGAUUGAAGUUUGGAGAUUUGUUCAGCAAUAUCUCUUUUCUCCAUUGCUUGGCCCUGGAAUCAGAGACAAAGCGGACAACACCAAACCGGAAAUGCAUCCGAAGACACCCUCUCCCAGAGAUGACACCCAUUUCUCACAGAAUUCUGAAGGAUGCUUACUUGACAUUUCCUUACGAGAUUAUUCAAACCUCUGUCAGAGGUCAAGAUCAGGAGCUUCCUGUUGUCCCUCACACCUCCUGGGUUACCAGGCUGCGGAGUGUCAACCAGCAAACAACCCCAGAGGGGUGGUUGAGCCCAUCUCAUCAACUUCUCCUCCCAAGUCAGGCUGAUGAUGUGUAUUGAUCUAUUCUUUAAGUGGGAAUCCACAUCUGUUCCAUGUACUACAUGAUUAGGCGUGGCAUUGUUUAGAUAUUGCAGAUUCAACUGACGGCCCUCAUCGAUUUGUUAUCCUGCCUGUAAAAUGAAAACAUGAGCUCAGGCUGUUGCCAAGAACCUACUGCUGGCCAAGACGUGAAUGAAUUUGGAAGAAGAUCCUGAGCUAGAGAUGAGACCACACCUCCAUUCACCACCUGGAUCUCAGUCUGGGGAGACCCUGAGCAGAGAACUCAGAGAUUCCAAGUCUUCUGAAAUGUAACAAAAAACAACUUUAUGGAAACUGUCUAAUGGACAAGUGAAUGGUGGGUUUUCAUCUACUCUACCUCUCAGGAUGGAAUAAAUGUAGGGGCACCUGGAUAGCUCAAGCUGGUUAAGUGUUUGCCUUCAGCUCAGGUCAUGAU